GAUGAACGCUAGCGGCAGGCUUAAUACAUGCAAGUCGAGGGACAGCACAGGUAGCAAUACUGGGUGGUAACCGGCAAACGGGUGCGGAACACGUACACAACCUUCCUUUAAGUGGGGGAUAGCCCAGAGAAAUUUGGAUUAAUACCCCGUAAUACAGUUGAAUGGCAUCAUUUGAUUAUUAUAGCUACGACGCUUAAUGAUGGGUGUGCGGCUGAUUAGAUAGUUGGCGGGGUAACGGCCCACCAAGUCUACGAUCAGUAGCUGAUGUGAGGGCAUGAUCAGCGAGACGGGAACUGAGACACGGGCCCGACUCCGACGGGAGGCAGCAGUAAGGAAUAUUGGUCAAUGGACGCAAGUCUGAACCAGCCAUGCCGCGUGAAGGAUUAAUGUCCUCUGGAUUGUAAACUUCUUUUAUUUGGGACGAAAAAGGGCCUUUCUAGGUCAACUGACGGUACCAGAUGAAUAAGCACCGGCUAACUCCGUGCCAGCCGCCGCAGUAACAC
rnacentral:rRNA from 1 species